AGGAGGGGGGAGGCAGGUAGAGCGGUAGUGCCAUGAAUAUUAUUCCUGGCACUACCGCUCUACCUGCCUCCCCCUCCCUUAUGCUCCUCC
rnacentral:miRNA from 1 species